GUACAGAGUCAAUGUGGAGGCUAUAUACAGGGUGUUACGGUACUGAGUCAAUGUGGAGACUAUAUACAGGGUGUUACGGUACAGAGUCAAUGAGGAGGCUAUAUACAGGGUGUUACGGUACAGAGUCAAUGUGGAGGCUAUAUACAGGGGGUACUGGUACAGAGUCAAUGUGGAGGCUAUAUACAGGGUGUUACGGUACAGAGUCAAUGUGGAGACUAUAUACAGGGGUGUUACGGUACAGAGUCAAUGUGGAGGCUAUAUACAGGGGGUACCGGUACAGAGUCAAUGUGGAGGCUAUAUACAGGGGGUACCGGUACAGAGUCAAUGUGGAGGCUAUAUACAAGGGGUACCGGUACAGAGUCAAUGUGGAGGCUAUAUACAGGGUGUUACGGUACAGAGUCAAUGUGGAGGCUAUAUACAG
rnacentral:lncRNA from 1 species